UGGUACAGGGGUGUAGGUGUUAUAAAGGGGUAGGUGGUACAGGGGUGUAGGCAUUAUAAAGGAGUAGGUGGUACAGGGGUGUAGGUGUUAUAAAGGAGUAGGUGGUACAGGGGUGUAGGCAUUAUAAAGGAGUAGGUGGUACAGGGGUGUAGUCAUUAUAAAGGAGUAGGUGGUACAGGGGUGUAGGUGUUAUAAAGGAGUAGGUGGUACAGGGGUGUAGUCAUUAUAAAGGAGUAGGUGGUACAGGGGUGUAGGCAUUAUAAAGGAGUAGGUGGUACAGGGGUGUAGUCAUUAUAAAGGAGUAGGUGGUACAGGGGUGUAGUCAUUAUAAAGGAGUAGGUGGUACAGGGAUGUAGGCAUUAUAAAGGAGUAGGUGGUACAGGGAUGUAGGUGUUAUAAAGGAGUAGGUGGUACAGGGGUAUAGUCA